GUCCUGAAUGUAAGAAUUUUGGUCUUCAUCCUAAGAAAAAAUGGAAGCCUCUGGAAGGCUUAAAGCAGGGGAGUGACAUGAUCAGAUUUCUAUUUUAAAUUCUGUUGCAUGGAGGAUGGAUUGGAGGUGUGCAAGGGAGGUUGCAGGAGGAUUAAUUGUGGCUCCAACAAGGUCCAACGUUGGCCUGGACCAGGGUGUGGGGGAUGGGAAGUGGCUAGGUUCUUCUGUAUCCCCAACACCCAGCAUAUUACCUGACACACAGGUCUUCAGUAAAAUGUUGAAUGGAUGUUGAAGUAGAUUCUGUACGGUCCAUGCUCUCCAGAUAUCUGCAGUCCAGCAGGAGCUGAGUGGCGUAGCACUGCCUACACUUCUGCCCGACUUCUAGUCACUUGCUCUUCUGAGGAAGCUUGAAGAUGUUACAGCCUCCCCUUCCAACUCAACUGACUCCUCGAGUCACAGCCCCUGCCUGUAUUCAUUGAGCCUCUGUUUCCUCACCUGCCAGUGAGAGUGACCACAGUACCUGCCUCAAAGUGUUGCUGAGAAAAUUAGAGAUGAUAUUUUAACUUUUUAUUUUUCUUAUGGAUGUUUGGGUAGAUUAGGAAGUCUGAAAGCAUCAACACUCUAUUGUUGUGUGUGUGUGUUUGUGUGUGUGUUUUGAGAUGGGGUCUCCCUCUAUCAUCCAGGCUAAAGUGCAGUGGCAUGAUCAUCUUACUAGAUCCUCAAACUCCUGGACUCAAGCCAUUAACCCUCCUCAGCCUCCCAAGUAGCUGGGUCUACAGCUGCAUGACACCAUGCCUGACUGUUGUUAAUGGUGGUUAUCUUUGAGUGGUGGGAUUAUUGGUAACUAAUUUUUCUUUUUGUUUAAUGUACUUUCAACGUUUUAAGAAAUUUUUAAAAUAAUAAAUAAAUUUUAAAAAAGAAACCUAGAAUGGUCAUAUGAUCUAGCAAUUCCAUUUCUGGGUAUAUCACGAAAGAAUUGAAAGCUGAGACUUGAACAGAUAAUUAUAAACUAAUGCUCAUUAUGGCAUUAUGGCAACUGCUAAAAGGUGGAAACAACCCAAAUGUCCAUUGACAGAUGAAUGGGUGAACAAAAUGUGGUAUAUAUACACAAGAAAUAUUAGUCAGGCCUGAUGUGGU
rnacentral:lncRNA from 1 species